ACUCACUUUAAAUUUCGUACAAAUAAACAGCAUGGGUUGUUUACUAUGGCUCACUCAAUUUCUUUGCCUCUUUUUCUUUCACUUCCAUUUUCAAGCCACCAGUUCUUCAUCUUUGUCUUCCAAUCUCUCCUUUUCACAGGUGCCUUGCCAGUUUGACCAAAGUCAUGCCUUGCUCCAAUUCAAAAAAUCCUUCUCCAUCACCAGUUUUGCCUCUG
rnacentral:misc_RNA from 1 species